rnacentral:rRNA from 1 species
GACGAACGCUGGCGGCGUGCUUAACACAUGCAAGUCGAACGCUGAAGCUUGGUGCUUGCACUGGGUGGAUGAGUGGCGAACGGGUGAGUAAUACGUGAGUAACCUGCCCUUGACUCUGGGAUAAGCCUGGGGAACUGGGUCUAAUACUGGAUACGACAUGUCACCGCAUGGUGGUGUGUGGAAAGGGUUUUACUGGUUUUGGAUGGGCUCACGGCCUAUCAGCUUGUUGGUGGGGUAAUGGCUCACCAAGGCGACGACGGGUAGCCGGCCUGAGAGGGUGACCGGCCACACUGGGACUGAGACACGGCCCAGACUCCUACGGGAGGCAGCAGUGGGGAAUAUUGCACAAUGGGCGGAAGCCUGAUGCAGCGACGCCGCGUGAGGGAUGACGGCCUUCGGGUUGUAAACCUCUUUCAGCACGGAAGAAGCGAAAGUGACGGUACGUGCAGAAGAAGCGCCGGCUAACUACGUG